rnacentral:lncRNA from 1 species
UGAGAGAGAAUUUUGGAAAGAAUGUAUUAACAACUAAUCAACAGAUUAUGUAUCUUUACAAAGAAGUUCUCAGCUCAUAUAGCUGUUGUAAAGCUGUUACAAUACAACUAAUCAGUCCAAGACACGUGUGCUACUAUAACAAACAUCUAAGUAAGUAGUUCAGCUUAAAUCCUUGCCCUACAACUCAGCAAUCCAAAUCCAACGACUCAUAAGCUAAGCCUAAUUUCACAUGUAACAUAGCUCCCCUCUCUAAGAACUCUUGUCCUCAAGAGUGGCAGUAGGGAAUCGAGCAACCAAGUCAUCAUAAUAUUCCCAAGUAGCAUCCUCAGGUUGAGAAUUGUCCCAUGUGCAGCAGCUUGCUGGUUCCUAUUAACUAACCUUCUAUCCAAAAUUGCAACUGGAGUAAGACCAAUAGAAGGAGGGAAUAACGGAUUAACAAUUUUAUUAGAGUGAACUCUUUCCUUCAAUUGAGAAAUAUGGAAAGUUGGAUGGAUAGAACUAGAAUUAGGCAAAUCCAACCUAUAAGCAACCUUCCCAAUUCUGUCAAGCACCUUAAAUGGCCUAUAAAACAAUGUUGAAAGCUUAUGAUUACCACAUUGCUGCAAAGAUUGUUGUGGAUAAGGCUACAAUUUGACAAACACAAGAUCACCAAUUUGAAAUUCUCUAUCUAUCCUAUGUUUAUUUGCCAUUUGUUGCAUUCUACCUUGUGCUUGUUGCAAAUGAUACUUCAAAAGAUGCAGCGUAUUUUCCCUUU